UUGAACCUACGGGACGCAGCAGUGGGGAAUAUUGGGCAAUGGGCGCAAGCCUGACCCAGCAACGCCGCAUGAAGGAAGAAGGCUUUCGGGUUGUAAACUUCUUUUCUCAGGGACGAAGAAAGUGACGGUACCUGAGGAAUAAGCCACGGCUAACUACGUGCCAGCAGCCGCGGUAAUACGUAGGUGGCAAGCGUUAUCCGGAUUUAUUGGGUGUAAAGGGCGUGUAGGCGGGAGCGCAAGGCAGAUGUGAAAAAUCAGGGCUCAACCCUGAGCCUGCAUUUGAAACUGUGUUUCUUGAGUGCUGG
rnacentral:rRNA from 1 species